rnacentral:misc_RNA from 1 species
GAGACGUCGGAAUGGUUUUUGGGCGAAGCCCCGACAAACGUCAGGCCGAAGGCUGCCAGGCCCGCGAUCACAGCCACGCCCGCGCCCACAGCCAGCCGUUGCCGGGGGAUGGCCUGAAUCCGGGCAAUCAGAGCACUUGGUCUGUUGGUCUUUUCGGUCAUUCGAAAAUCCGUGGUUCUGCGGCGACCUGACGCCGCAGCCUGUCAGGCUAAUAGUUCCACUUUCCUACUCAGGACAAUCAAAAACCGACGGGAUGGACAUUAUUUUCGGUUA